GACGAACGCUGGCGGCGUGCUUAACACAUGCAAGUCGAGCGGUAAGACCCUUUCGGGGUACGACGAGCGGCGAACGGUGAGUAACACGUGGGUGACCUCGCCCUCAGCUCUGGGAGUAACGCCCGGGAAACGUGGGUCUAAUACCGGAUAUGACUUCAUGACGCAUGUUGUGGAGUGGAAAGCCUUGUGCGGCUGAGGAU
rnacentral:rRNA from 1 species